GUAGGUGGCAAGCGUUGUCCGGAAUUAUUGGGCGUAAAGCGCGCGCAGGCGGUUCUUUAAGUCUGAUGUGAAAGCCCACGGCUCAACCGUGGAGGGUCAUUGGAAACUGGAGAACUUGAGUACAGAAGAGGAAAGCGGAAUUCCACGUGUAGCGGUGAAAUGCGUAGAGAUGUGGAGGAACACCAGUGGCGAAGGCGGCUUUCUGGUCUGUAACUGACGCUGAGGCGCGAAAGCGUGGGGAGCAAACAGGAUUAGAUACCCUGGUAGUCCACGCCGUAAACGAUGAGUGCUAAGUGUUAGGGGGUUUCCGCCCCCUUAGUGCUGCAGCUAACGCAUUAAGCACUCGCCUGGGAGUACGGCGCAAGGCUG
rnacentral:rRNA from 1 species